rnacentral:rRNA from 1 species
UGACCUGGUGAUUUUAGCGAGUGCGCAACACCCCAUCCCAUACCGAACUGGACCGUGAAAAGCCUCAGCGCCAAUGGUACUUCGUCUUAAGACGCGGGAGAGUAGGUCGUUGCCAGGUCU